AUGACAAUUUUACUACUUAUUGGGUUUUUUAUACCCACACUGGGUAAUUUGAUAGAAACGUGCUGGGUUAUAUGUUUACCCAAUUAUUGGUGUGUGGUCGUUUGACCAUAUACUGGGUUAUGCUAACCAUUGAUGAGUUAUUAUACCCAAUCACUGGGUUUAUCAUAACAUUUGAAAUCAGAGCCAGCCAACGGACUUUUUCCUGGAAGUCAACUGAACUGAGGAAACCUUCAACAACAAGGAAAGGUUAACCAGAGACCGCACUGGCGUCCGGAUCCUUUGUAAGCUGAUCACGUUAUGUCCGUCUGUGCUAAGACUGGAAGUGACUGAAAGACAACACAGAUGCAUUCUUUCAGCAAGGUGACCAAAAUCUGUUUCACUCUGCAGCACUUGUCCUGGAGGUUUUGUAGACAGAACUGGAAGUGACUGAAAGAAAACGGAGACUCAUUCUUUCAGCAAGGUUAGUAUUGCUGCUUCUCAAUAUGUGUUGCCUGCCAUUAAUGUAGCCAUACCCCAUAAAGCCAAAAUAAUGAUCACAUGCAUGUAUUUAUUAGGAAUGUAGAUUGGAACUUAACAGAACACCUCCAUCUCUAACUUCUUGCUAUUAAGAAAAUAUUAAAGCACCAGCACAGUUGGGAUACUGCAUGAUAUUGAUAAAGCAUUUGCUUAGC